rnacentral:lncRNA from 1 species
AUUGCGCAUGCGGGAAACCCACGCUGAGGGAAGAAUCAUGGGAAAGAGGUGAGCCUGUAAAGUUUUAGGAUCAAGGUUAAAGGCCCUUUUUUGCUCUCUUCUCUCUUGGACCUUCAGGCGACGGCUUGGGUAUCUUCCAAGCGAAUUUUCCUUUCUUUCCUGUUCUUUUUUUUUUUUGAGACGGAGUCUUGCUCUGUCGCCCAGGCUGGAGUGCAGUGGCGUGAUGUCGGCUCACUGCAAGCUCCGCCUCCCGGGUUCACGCCAUUCUCCUGCUUCAGCCUCCUGAGUAGCUGGGGCUACAGGCGCCCGCCACCACGCCCGGCUAAUUUUUUUGUAUUUUUUUUUUUAGUAGAGACGGGGUUCCACCGUGUUAGCCAGGAUGGUCUCGAUUUCCUGACCUCGUCAUCCUCCCGCCUUGGCCUCCCAAAGUGCUGGGAUUACAGGCUUGAGCCACCGCGCCCCGCUCUUUCGUGUUCCAAAGGCUUUUUAAAUAAACUUCCACUCCUGUCCUGGAUUCUGCUUUAUGGCCCUCAGUCGAAUUCUUUCUUCUGAGGAGGCAAGGACUGAAGUUGCUUCUGACCAGUACAGAGGCAGCGAAGGACUCUCUGAAGAUAGAACAUAUGAAGCAAGCCCUAAUGCCAUGAAGAAGCAGCCGAGUGAAUGUCUAGGGGGGACUAAUCCAGACAGAAGGAAAGA